rnacentral:rRNA from 1 species
CCUUACCACCUUUUGACAUGCCUGGACCGCCAGAGAGAUCUGGCUUUCCCUUCGGGGACUAGGACACAGGUGCUGCAUGGCUGUCGUCAGCUCGUGUUGUGAAAUGUUGGGUUAAGUCCCGCAACGAGCGCAACCCUUAUCCUUUGUUGCCAGCGGUUCGGCCGGGAACUCAAAGGAGACUGCCAGUGAUAAACUGGAGGAAGGUGGGGAUGACGUCAAGUCAUCAUGGCCCUUACGAGUAGGGCUACACACGUGCUACAAUGGCAUAUACAAAGAGAAGCGACCUCGCGAGAGCAAGCGGACCUCAUAAAGUAUGUCGUAGUCCGGAUUGGAGUCUGCAACUCGACUCCAUGAAGUCGGAAUCGCUAGUAAUCGUAGAUCAGAAUGCUACGGUGAAUACGUUCCCGGGCCUUGUACACACCGCCCGUCACACCAUGGGAGUGGGUUGCAAAAGAAGUAGGUAGCUUAACCUUCGGGAGGGCGCUUACCACUUUGUGAUUCAUGACAGGGGUGAAGUCGUAACAAGGUAACCGUAGGGGAACCUGCGGCUGGAUCACCUCCUU